UUUGACAAUUUCCUCCUUCCAUUGACUGUAAUCUUUCUAGAUCUCCUAUGAUUCAUAUAUAGGACGUCCUAGGCCAAUCCUCCAAUUUUCUUUUCUCUCCCAGUUUUCAUCUUUCUAUUCUACACAUUUUGGGAGAUUGUCUCAAUUUUAUCUUUUACACACUCUUUGGAUUUCAUUUUUAAUAUAGUUAAUAAUUUCUAAAAAUGCUUGUUUUCCUUUUUUUUUUUUUAAGUUUCCUGUUAUUGUUGCAUGGAUACAGUAUCUUCGCUCUAAAUUCAGAUACUAUGAUUUUGUGACCUUUUCUUUUGUUAUUUACAUUGCCUUUUUUUCCUACUUCUAUUUGUCAAAAUUCACAUUGCCUUUAUUUCCUUGUUUUUCAGUUUACCUGUUCUGGUCUUUCCUCACAUAUCUGACAAUCGUUAGCUCUCUUUGUAUUUCAAAGAAAAGCUCUGGAAUGUGUCUGGGACCUGUGUAUAUAUGGGCAAAACUCAUCAACGAAUGGGCUCCCUGGUGAUUAUUUGGCAGAUUCCUGGCAAUUUCAUCAGAGGAUCCAAAAAUUGGAGAAACUCCAAGAUGAACCCCAAAGAUCUCCAUCUCCAGCUGUUCACACUCCUAUGUAAUCUCUAGCCCUUGGGUGUGGAAAGGACUUGUGACUUACUUUAACCAACAACAGAAUAUAGCAAAGAUGCCUAAGAACUGCAAAUGAGAAAUAAUUUUCUCACCUGGUCACAGCAUCUACCAAGAAUGGCGCUGGGGGAGAGAUCAGUGAGAU
rnacentral:lncRNA from 1 species